GUGGCUCGAGGUGUGGACGCCCGCGCCACCUUCCCGUUCCCGUUUCAGGGGGGAAGCUGCAGAGUUCUGGAGCUGUGAGUAGCACCGCUGUCACCGCAAAGCAGAACCCCCAGUGAUUAGGGACGCUCCACGGACUUCACGGCUGCGCGGCCGGCAUCACGGGCUGCUGUUGCUCCAGCGUGUUGGGACGUGCGAGAGGCAUUUACGACCUCAGCGACACAUUCCCUCAACCUCAUCACGCUGCAAGUGCUGCCAGGGUGUGUUCAGGGGACACUCCCUCUCGGGCUGGCUUGUGCGGGGACACGUGCGUGCACACAGACACGGACUCACAUAAAUGCAAUCCACAUGCACUCACAAUAGGCUCUUAUGCACAGACCCUCACACUCAUGUGAACACACUCAUGCACACGCAAGACUUACAUAUUCACACUCACACCCGUGGGCACACCCAGACAUGGAUACACACUCAUACAGGCACACACGUAUCCAGACACCCACGCACAGACACACUCACACCCACGGGCACACCUAGACAUGGAUACACACACAGGUAGUCACAAGCACUCACAUAUCCAGACACCCAUGCGCACACUCACACUCACAGGCACACCCAGACAUGGAUACACAGGCACACACAUAUUGGGACACCCACGCAUAGACACAUUCACACACGGGCACACCCAGACUGAUGCACACGAACACAGACAUGCACUAGUAUAGCCAGACACCCAGGCACACUCAAACUCUCACAGUCACACAUUCACAUACACUCACAUGAAUACAGUGCAUGCACACACAAACACAUACCUAUACACUUGUGUGUGCAGAGAACACACACUCACACAUUUGCACUUAUACUCACAUGAAUACAAUAGAAACACAUGCAUACACACUUGUGUGCCCAGACCCACACACACAUUUGCACACUCACAUGACUAUAAUACAUGCACACAUGCAUACAUACAUGUGACCAGACCCACACCCACUCACAUUCGCACUCACACACACGUGAAUAUAGUACUCGCACACACACGCAUACACGUGCCCAGACCUACAGACACACUCGCAUUUGCACACUCACACGUGAAUGUAGUAUAUGCACACACACACUCAUGUGCCCAGACCCACAGACACACACAUUCACACCCUCACACAUGUGAAUAUACAUGCACACACACGCAUACACACUC
rnacentral:lncRNA from 1 species